AAAUUGAAGAGUUUGAUCAUGGCUCAGAUUGAACGCUGGCGGCAGGCCUAACACAUGCAAGUCGAACGGUAGCACAGAGAGCUUGCUCUCGGGUGACGAGUGGCGGACGGGUGAGUAAUGUCUGGGAAACUGCCUGAUGGAGGGGGAUAACUACUGGAAACGGUGGCUAAUACCGCAUAACGUCGCAAGACCAAAGAGGGGGACCUUCGGGCC
rnacentral:rRNA from 2 species